rnacentral:tRNA from 1 species
GGCCUUAUGGUGAAUAGCACAUCAGAUUGCAAACCUGGGGAUGCGGGUAACGCCGCUGAGGCCU